UAGGGAAUCCUCCACAAUGGGCGCAAGCCUGAUGGAGCAACACCGCGUGAGUGAAGAAGGGUUUCGGCUCGUAAAGCUCUGUUGUUAAAGAAGAACACGUAUGAGAGUAACUGUUCAUACGUUGACGGUAUUUAACCAGAAAGUCACGGCUAACUACGUGCCAG
rnacentral:rRNA from 1 species